rnacentral:sRNA from 1 species
GACGGGCACAGAGGUGCAUGCCUGUAAUCCCAGCAGCUCAGGAGGCUGAGGCAGGAGGAUCAUGAGUUCAAAGCCAGCCUCAGCAAAAGCGAGACACUAAGCAACUCAGUGAGACCCUGUCUCUA